rnacentral:rRNA from 1 species
CUACGUGCCAGCAGCCGCGGUAAUACGUAGGUCCCGAGCGUUGUCCGGAUUUAUUGGGCGUAAAGCGAGCGCAGGCGGUUUGAUAAGUCUGAAGUUAAAGGCUGUGGCUCAACCAUAGUUCGCUUUGGAAACUGUCAAACUUGAGUGCAGAAGGGGAGAGUGGAAUUCCAUGUGUAGCGGUGAAAUGCGUAGAUAUAUGGAGGAACACCGGUGGCGAAAGCGGCUCUCUGGUCUGUAACUGACGCUGAGGCUCGAAAGCGUGGGGAGCGAACAGGAUUAGAUACCCUGGUAGUCCACGCCGUAAACGAUGAGUGCUAGGUGUUAGACCCUUUCCGGGGUUUAGUGCCGUAGCUAACGCAUUAAGCACUCCGCCUGGGGAGUACGACCGCAAGGUUGAAACUCAAAGGAAUUGACGGGGGCCCGCACAAGCGGUGGAGCAUGUGGUUUAAUUCGAAGCAACGCGAAGAACCUUACCAGGUCUUGACAUCCCUCUGACCGCUCUAGAGAUAGAGCUUUC